GGCCGUUGCGGGUGCUUACACAUGCAGUCGAGCGGUAAGGCCCUUCGGGGUACACGAGCGGCGAACGGGUGAGUAACACGUGAGCAACCUGCCCCUGACUCUGGGAUAAGCGGUGGAAACGCCGUCUAAUACCGGAUAUGACCUGCCACCUCAUGGUGGCGGGUGGAAAGUUUUAUCGGUCAGGGAUGGGCUCGCGGCCUAUCAGCUUGUUGGUGGGGUAACGGCCUACCAAGGCGAUUACGGGUAGCCGGCCUGAGAGGGCGACCGGCCACACUGGGACUGAGACACGGCCCAGACUCCUGCGGGAGGCAGCAGUGGGGAAUAUUGCACAAUGGGCGAAAGCCUGAUGCAGCGACGCCGCGUGGGGGAUGACGGCCUUCGGGUUGUAAACCUCUUUUACCACCAACGCAGGCUCCGGGUUUUCUCGGGGUUGACGGUAGGUGGGGAAUAAGGACCGGCUAACUACGUGCCAGCAGCCGCGGUAAUACGUAGGGUCCGAGCGUUGUCCGGAAUUAUUGGGCGUAAAGAGCUCGUAGGCGGCAUGUUGCGUCUGCUGUGAAAGACCGGGGCUUAACUCCGGUUCUGCAGUGGAUACGGGCAUGCUAGAGGUAGGUAGGGGAAACUGGAAUUCCUGGUGUAGCGGUGAAAUGCGCAGAUAUCAGGAGGAACACCGGUGGCGAAGGCGGGUUUCUGGGCCUUACCUGACGCUGAGGAGCGAAAGCAUGGGGAGCGAACAGGAUUAGAUACCCUGGUAGUCCAUGCCGUAAACGUUGGGCGCUAGGUGUGGGGACUUUCCACGGUUUCCGCGCCGUAGCUAACGCAUUAAGCGCCCCGCCUGGGGGAGUACGGCCGCAAGGCUAAAACUCAAAGGAAUUGACGGGGGCCCGCACAAGCGGCGGAGCAUGUUGCUUAAUUCGACGCAACGCGAAGAACCUUACCAAGGUUUGACAUCACCCGUGGACCUGUAGAGAUACAGGGUCAUUUAGUUGGUGGGUGACAGGUGGUGCAUGGCUGUCGUCAGCUCGUGUCGUGAGAUGUUGGGUUAAGUCCCGCAACGAGCGCAACCCUUGUUCUAUGUUGCCAGCACGUAAUGGUGGGGACUCAUAGGAGACUGCCGGGGUCAACUCGGAGGAAGGUGGGGACGACGUCAAGUCAUCAUGCCCCUUAUGUCUUGGGCUGCAAACAUGCUACAAUGGCCGGUACAAUGGGCGUGCGAUACCGUAAGGUGGAGCGAAUCCCUUAAAGCCGGUCUCAGUUCGGAUUGGGGUCUGCAACUCGACCCCAUGAAGGUGGAGUCGCUAGUAAUCGCGGAUCAGCAACGCCGCGGUGAAUACGUUCCCGGGCCUUGUACACACCGCCCGUCACGUCAUGAAAGUCGGCAACACCCGAAACUUGUGGCCUAACCCUUCGGGAGGGAAUGAGGAAAGGGG
rnacentral:rRNA from 1 species